rnacentral:rRNA from 1 species
ACGGAGGGGGCUAGCGUUGUUCGGAAUUACUGGGCGUAAAGCGCACGUAGGCGGCUUUGUAAGUUAGAGGUGAAAGCCCGGGGCUCAACUCCGGAAUUGCCUUUAAGACUGCAUCGCUAGAAUUGUGGAGAGGUAAGUGGAAUUCCGAGUGUAGAGGUGAAAUUCGUAGAUAUCGGGAGGAACACCUGCGGUGUAGACGGCUAUCUGGACGGCCACUGACGCUGAGACACGAAAGCGUGGGUAGCAAACAGGA